UGGCUUAGUGGUUAAGUGUUUGGCUGCUAACCAAGCAGUCGAUAGUUCGAAUCCACC
rnacentral:tRNA from 1 species